CGGCGGGCUGCUACACAAUGUUUCCCUUCAGUCGGGAGGGGAAAUGGAGGGAGGCCAGACUUCCUGAUCACAUGAUGCUGAAGUCAAUGAAAAAAAAUGAAGGGGGACCCCUCCCAUGCGCUGGGGUGCGCGGGCCAGGGCCCCCCACCCACCCCCUCGGGCCGCGCGGCCGGGGAAGCGCAGGCUCGCGGGCGGGCGCGGGGCCAGGCGCAGGACGGGGCAAACAUAAACACCAGAUCGGUGCAGUAAUUGGCGGCUCCGAGAUCGCUGAGGAAAUGAGAGGCUUGUACGAAACAUCAGCCGACAAGAAACGGGGUGAUGUCAGACAGCCUUCCAGGAUUAGAAACCCUUAAAAGCUCCGAGCCCGCGGCGGCUGCGGAAAAGCGCGCUCCUCUCUGGCUCUCCGGGGUUGUGAUAAUUGCUUUGAAGAGAAACUUUGCAUUGAAAGUUACUUCUCCCUCCUGAAGAGUUUAAUGCUGUUAAAUUUCCUCAAGCUCAGGACUCCUCAUGAGCAAUGAACCUGCUUCUUCAAUGAGUAUAUGUGUUAAAACUGCUACCUACUGACUGAAGCCUCCUCAAGUGAGAUGCUCUUCUCUCUGGAGGCAUAGGGUUUAAGUAGAACAGGAAGAGGCAAGAAAAAGGACACUUCUCAUACUUGGAAAAAAAAAACCCUCAAACAGUGGUGGAAUAUUUUCAGUAAUUGCAUUGUCACAGACUAGAAGACUCUUGCAGCUGGGCCUGACCUGGGACCUUGAGGCUGCUCAGCUACAUAGAUGUCAGGUGGCAGCAACAAGCCACUUCUUCUCAUCAAAGGCCUAUAGACACUGCUAAGUGAUUUCAUGGCCAGUAAAGUAUUGCAGGCUUGGGGACCAAGACUUGGGUGAAAGGGAUGCUCGGGUGCCUGGCCACUGGGUGUGUGGGGAUAUGCACAUGCUUGCACUCAGUACUUGGCUGUGAGCAGUUCAAGUGCUAAAGGACAUCCUGGUUAGUCUAAGAACAGAUGUUUCUUCCUUUGUGUAACCUACACUAUAGAACUUGCCUCUUUGAGAAAAUGAAAAAAGACACAAUAACUCCUCUGCCUCUUGAGAGACAACAAGUAACCAACUUCGACUCUUUCAUGACCUUGGAUGUUACUUAAAUCUGACAGCACACGAGGGUCUUGAUCUCAGUCUCCAAGUGAGGGGGAGAAGAAGUUGCAGCCUGCCCCUGGUGUCCAGGUCAGGUCGAUGCAUUCAUCAUUGAGAGACUCACUGAGCUGGCAAGGUGGCUGGCACUUCUGAAAUCAACGUGGAGUAUCUUAAUCAUUAUUUCCAUCAUCCACUGAGGCUUAGAAUAGGUUUCAAGCCUCCCUACUUUUUCUCUUCUCACGUUUUAGUUUAUUUUUGGAAGUGAGAUCAAUGGGUUGUACUUUGCUUUCUUUCAGGAACCUCUGGACUGCAUUUCUAACCACACCUAGUAGCGGAGCACGUGACUGGACCUUCAUGGAAUAUCUGAUGGUCUUGUUGGGCUUGGUUUCCUGAUCAGCUAAUGAUAGUUAUGCAGCAUACACUUCCAGUCUUGGACAUUAUUAUUAAGUCUGGUGGGUGGUGGAAAUAAUGUGCUAAGUCAUAUUAAUAAAUAACAAUGAGAAUGUGAGCUGUAGCCUCUAACAGGUCACCAGUUACAUGAUAGGCCAUAGGUCAAAUAUCAAAAUGUGACUAUGUGGCUACCUAGAGGAACACCACAUGGGCAAGAGGUGAGUUUGCCAGAGGUUCCUGAGUACUUUAAAAACCCUCCUCACUGUUUCCCAAGACCCUCUAUCUAUCAAGAAGCCUAGGCCUUCAGGUGCUCUGGCUUGAACUGCAUCAAACCUGUUCCUCAUUUCCUCCUUUGACAUGCUCUCCAAUCCAGUCUGGUGGAUAUGAAUGAGCA
ensembl:lncRNA